rnacentral:rRNA from 1 species
ACCCCAGACUCCUACGGGAGGCAGCAGUGGGGGAUAUUGCACAAUGGGGGAAACCCUGAUGCAGCGACGCCGCGUGGGCGAAGAAGUAUUUCGGUAUGUAAAGCCCUAUCAGCAGGGAAGAAGAAAUGACGGUACCUGAGUAAGAAGCACCGGCUAAAUACGUGCCAGCAGCCGCGGUAAUACGUAUGGUGCAAGCGUUAUCCGGAUUUACUGGGUGUAAAGGGAGCGCAGGCGGCACGGCAAGCCUGAUGUGAAAGCCCGCGGCCCAACCGCGGGACUGCAUUGGGAACUACCGGGCUGGAGUGCCGGAGAGGUAGGCGGAAUUCCUAGUGUAGCGGUGAAAUGCGUAGAUAUUAGGAGGAACACCAGUGGCGAAGGCGGCCUGCUGGACGACAACUGACGGUGAGGCGCGAAAGCGUGGGGAGCAAACAGGAUUAGAUCCCCGAGUA